UGGGGAAUAUUGGGCAAUGGGCGAAAGCCUGACCCAGCAACGCCGCGUGAAGGAAGAAGGUUUUCGGAUUGUAAACUUCUGUCCUCAGGGAAGAAGGAAGUGACGGUACCUGAGGAGGAAGCCCCGGCUAACUACGUGCCAGCAGCCGCGGUAAUACGUAGGGGGCGAGCGUUGUCCGGAAUGACUGGGCGUAAAGGGCGCGUAGGUGGCCUCACAAGUCUGGAGUGAAAGUCCCGUUUUUAAGGUGGGAAUGGCUUUGGAAACUGUGGGGCUUGAGUGUGGGAGAGGAUAGCGGAAUUUCCGGUGUAGCGGUGAAAUGCGUAGAGAUCGGGAGGAACACCAGUGGCGAAGGCGGCUAUCUGGACCAAGACUGACACUGAAGCGCGAAAGCGUGGGUAGCAAACAGG
rnacentral:rRNA from 1 species